rnacentral:rRNA from 1 species
CCAGACUCCUACGGGAGGCAGCAGUGGGGGAUAUUGCACAAUGGGGGGAACCCUGAUGCAGCGACGCCGCGUGGGUGAAGAAGCGCCUCGGCGCGUAAAGCCCUGUCAGCAGGGAAGAAAAUGACGGUACCUGAAGAAGAAGCCCCGGCUAACUACGUGCCAGCAGCCGCGGUAAUACGUAGGGGGCAAGCGUUAUCCGGAUUUACUGGGGGUAAAGGGGGCGCAGACGGCAGCGCAAGCCAGGAGUGAAAGCCCGGGGCCCAACCCCGGGACUGCUCUGGAAACUGCGGCGCUGGAGUCCGGGAGGGGCAGGCGGAAUUCCUGGGGGAGCGGUGAAAUGCGUAGAUAUCAGGAGGAACACCGGCGGCGAAGGCGGCCUGCUGGACCGCAACUGACGUUGAGGCCCGAAAGCGUGGGGAGCAAACAGGAUUAGAUACCCUAGUAA